rnacentral:rRNA from 1 species
GAGGUAACGGCCCACCAAGGCGACGAUCAGUAGCCGGACUGAGAGGUUGAUCGGCCACAUUGGGACUGAGACACGGCCCAGACUCCUACGGGAGGCAGCAGUGGGGAAUAUUGGGCAAUGGGCGCAAGCCUGACCCAGCAACGCCGCGUGAAGGAAGAAGGCUUUCGGGUUGUAAACUUCUUUUAUUAGGGACGAUAAUGACGGUACCUAUUGAAUAAGCUCCGGCUAACUACGUGCCAGCAGCCGCGGUAAUACGUAGGGAGCAAGCGUUAUCCGGAUUUACUGGGUGUAAAGGGCGUGUAGGCGGGACUGCAAGUCAGAUGUGAAAACUAUGGGCUCAACUCAUAGCCUGCAUUUGAAACUGUAGUUCUUGAGUGCUGGAGAGGCAAAUGGAACUCCUAGUGUAGCGGUGAAAUGCGUAGAUAUUAGGAAGAACACCAGUGGCGAAGGCGAUUUGCUGGACAGUAACUGACGCUGAGGCGCGAAAGUGUGGGGAGCAAACAGGAUUAGAUACCCUGGUAGUCCACACCGUAAACGAUGGAUACUAGGUGUGGGGGGUCUAACCCCCUCCGUGCCGCAG